UUUCCUAACGGUAUCCGCGCUGCGUAACCAGAUGCAGCAGAUCAGUCGAGACUGUUUCGUGAGAAAAUGUGAUGUUUGGCUGUGCAAAACCCACCGGCGCAGUACCAGCGUGUUGUGGUUGGUUGCUAUGCUGUUGCUAGAGCGUUUCUAGGGUAUCGUGGCUGGUUGCUAGGUGUCUGUUUACAGUCUGGAGUCUCUUCGGCGUGUAAAUGCGGUUCGGUUUCUCAUUCAUCGCGCGUCUGUGGGUUUUUGGGCAUCACUCGGUGAAGUACACAGCAUUCACAAACGCAACUUUAACACUCGGUAACGCAGGUUUGAUCUCACGCGUGUCUGCUCGCAGCGAUGAUAAAGAUCGUGAAUGACAGACAGCGGAGCUGAAACGCCCUUCGGCGGGCGGAGGUGAAGCUCCUCACACCGACCUCCGCUCGGUCCACAGACGCUCGGCACCUGUUGCACAGAGAGUUUGAGCUCCUGUGGGCCCGAUGCACGAAAACAGCCGCGCGUCUUCCCGUCCGGAGCAUCCGCGCAACAAAAGCGAACUGACACCGAAUCACAGCCGCGCGUGCCGGAGAACACCAGGAAUGAAUGAACGAACGAACGAACGAACGAAUGAAUGAACGCAGACAGCGGAGCAGAAAGAUGGGAGAUGGAACGAAUCAGAUGCACCAAGAAAUACAUGUGAUGGUGACGGCUCGAGUCAUGAACGAGCAUCAGCACCGGCGCCAUUGGGACGCGCGCUCCCACCCACCGCGCGUGCACGUCACCGGAGCGCCGACGGGAAUCUUGAGGAAAAUGAAAGUGUCUCGUGCGUGUUGUUGAGGUGAGCAUGAUGGAGAUCAGACGCGCCCAAAUGAACACAGACACUCCUGAACACCAGACAGGAAGAACAACACAGAAACAUCAGAACGUUCACAUCACACCAGCAACAACUGCUUAGCAAUGGUACGGGAUCUGUUCUCAUCAGAGAAGAUGCAGGCGGUGACGUCUCACAGGAACGCUUGACGUUUUCGGGCCCAUAUGCUGCGUUCGUGUCCGUAUGUGGAUCUGCAGGAAACAGGAAGUCAUUCCUCAGUCUGACACGCUAAACCGUUUCCCUCCAGCUGCUGAACCGAAGUUCACGUCCCACCGGAGAGAGAGAACAGGUUAACUUCAGGGAUAUUACACGCGUUCAUCAUCUCUGUGAUGCUGUAAUGGUGUUUUUGUCAUUUUCUGGAGUUGGACACUCCUGCUUUUAUCCACAGACUGAAGUGCACCUGUUUUGAAGCUCAUGCAAUUCACUGGGAAUCGAACCCAUGACCUUCCGUAGCGUGUGAGCGAGAGAAACGCUCCGAGGAACGUUCUGCUGAACGCCCGUCACGCGGCGUCACGUUCCGGUGAGCCGCGACCGACGGCCGUUUGUUGUGCCGACGCGGCUCGGUCCGCAGAUGAGGCCGAUCCGCGGGAGCCGCACAACGAGGAGAUUGAGCGUCAGUCUCAGCAUUACGCGUGGAUUAUGACGGCAGCGACUCUGUGUGUCACAGCAGGACAAGAAGAGGAUUACGCCGCUGUGAUCAGACUCUCUUUCUCACAGAGUCUCAUUAACAAACACCUGCUGCAGAGACUCAUCUCGUAUCACGCCAGAUCUCAACGAUAUGCUGAUGCCACGCUAUUGUUUGACCCGCGCUGUAAUCCUAAAUGAUUUCCUUCAUCUCCAUCCCUCACUCUUCCUGAGACACUGAAGGAGCCUUGCAGAGGUCAGAGGUCGUGACCUCAGUAGGCGCGUGACCUCGUGAUCCUCACUGACGGGCGCCGGUGUUGUUUUCUUCGAUACUGAGGUCGUUCUCAGCGUCGGUCCGGUUUAAUGAGCUCAAUGUGAAUCAAAUGAUCAACUAUCUCAAUCAGGGUCUGUUGAUAAUCAUCAUCUCUUAAUAAAGCAACAGGAAACCACGAAACUACUGUAAAAGAAGGAUUUGUAAUGGAGUCGAUCGACACUGAUGUCGGUCACUGCGGUGCUGAAGCUCAAUGAUCAGGGCACAUUUCACCUCCAAAUCAUACCUGUGACCCUGGACCACAAAACCAGUCAUAAGAGUCAAUUUUUUGAAAUUUGAGAUUUAUACAUCUCUGACAGCUGAAUAAAUUAGCUUUCCGUUGAUGUGUGGUUUGUUAGGAUAGGACAAUAUUUGGCUGAGAUACAACUAUUUGAAAAUCUGGAAUCUGAGGGUGCAAAAAAUCUAAAUAUUGACCAAAUCGCCUUUAAAGUUGUCCAAAUGAAGUUCUUAGCAACACGUUACUAAUCAGAAAUUAAGUUAAGAUAUAUUUACAGUAGGAAAUUUACAAAAUAUCUUCAUGGAACAUGAUCUUUACUUAAUAUCCUAAUGAUUUUUGGCAUAAAAGAAAAAAAAUGUUAAUUUUGACCCAUACAAUGUCUUUUUGGCCGUUGCUACAAAUAUACCCUUAAAGUAGUCGUGUAACGGUCUGGGUGUUGGUCCCUUCGAGACUCGGGUUUCCCUGCCUCUGCACUCGUGGAUAUAUGCUGGAAGAACACAGUGUGUAAUCUGUCGUUGUUGCACCAUUUCCUUAAGUAAUAAUACACAAGUUGAUGGUGACCUGCCUCGUGUGGUUCUUUCCUGACGUCCCACAGGUUACAGUCGUUCACUUCCAGAACAAAAAUUGACAGGUAAUGUACUCACCCUGUUGUCAUCCGAGACGUUCAUGUCUUUCUUUCUUCAUUCGUAAGGAAAUUAUGCUUUUUGAGGAAAACAUGUCAAGAAUGUUCUCCAUAUAGUGGACUUAUAUGGUGCCCACGAGACUGUAAGACUAUAGAAACCCAAGACCUGUCACUUGUGUAGUUUUAAAUGGGGAAAAAUGCAACCCUCAUUAUGGCCCCGAAGCCCCGCCUUCGGAAUAAAUGAGCCAAUCGCUAAUCGGUAAAGUCAGCACGUCACUGCAGCUGCAGUUAGAAGUCCUGGUUGCUAUAGAAACUGUCAGCGUUCUGAGACGUGGGCUCAAUACUGCGCAUGCGCAAUGACUGACCUCGCCUGAAAAAUAAGCUUUUUUCAAUGCUACUGGAGCAUAAGGAAUAGUAUUUAUCCUUGGUGAUUUCAAAUAUGAAAUUUAAUCAUAAGCUUGGUGAACAGUUUUGGAGAAUUUGAUGUUUCCCCAUUCAGAGAUAUAGGAGCUGCACUUGCCUGCCUGCUUUUACAUGUUGUUUGAACAUUAAUGUGUGUAUGUACACGUCACCCUAUAAUGAUAAGAGUCCACCAGUGUUUUUUAUUUAAUCUGUAAAAAUAAUUUCCCCUUUUUCAAAUCAAGCCAUUCUCAGCUUGUUGUCUGUGUGACGACCAUAGACUGUAAAAAAUAUGGACGUAGUGUCCGUGACGUCACCCGUAGGUUUAUGAAGAGCAUUUUUGAAGCUCUUAGUGGGCGGGAGUCGGCCGUCGCCAUCUUGGAAUCGCGUCACUGCACGUCACUCCCGGAUACUCAAAAAUGGGCAAAGAGGUGGGACGUGGGUGGAGCUGGUUGCUGAAACCACGCCUGCCUAGCGCGACGGUGGUGUCAGCAGCAACAAUCCACCUGUCACUCAAGUGUCCACACCCUAAAUUAUGCAGAACUUUAAGUCUUAAUAUAAUUUAAACGGAUGAGUUAUAAAAAAAAUUAUCCGCCCUCACAGCUGACAUGAAGGGCAAAAUUAGCUAUAUAGACCGAAACCACUUUUUGUUCCAGGCUGUAAACAUUUUUUUUUCAGCUGUAAAGUUGGGCAUUUUAACAUGGGGAGUCUAUGGGAUUGAUUCCCUUUUGGAGCCAGUCUCUAGGGGCCAGUCGAUGAAUUGCAGUUUAAGUCACUUCCGUGUUGGCUUCAGUAGAGAGAGCGGGAGGUUUCCACUUGGUGACGUCACACCGACAGAGGCCGCUCUCACGAUAGUUGAUUGACACGGCCGUUUUACCGUAGACGGAAUGAGCUGUAACAGUCCGACCGCCACUGUUUCAUGCCGGAGCAGGGACGUAGACAAGAAUGGCUCCUAAGCGAUUGAGGUGUUGUGUUGCUGGAUGUAAUAAUGAACAUAGUGGUCGUCAUUUACUCCCGACAUCUGAGCCGCUGAAGAUGCAGUGGAUUACGUUUGUUUGUGAAUGGAAUGCACCUCCCGAUCUACAUAUAUCCGUCUGUGUUCACACAAAUCAUUCAUGAUCCAGUUUCACUUACAGCAGAAGUGAGUAUAAGCGUUUUUUUAUGAAUCUUUGCGAUCGCCUUUCCUAAUAACGUGAUAGAUUCACAUAUAAUGUACUCACCCCCUUGUCAUCCAAGAUGUUUAUGUCUUUCCUUCUUCAGUCGUAAAAAAAAAUGUUUUUUGAGAAAAACAUUUCAGCACUUUUCUCCAUAUAAUGGACUGAUAUGGUGCCCCGAUUUUGAACUUCCAAAAUGUAGUUUAAAUGCAGCUUCAAACGUUCACAAAUGCAGAUUACAAACGAGUCCAGCCAAGGAAGAAGGGUCUUAUCUAGCGAAACCAACGGUUAUUUUCAUAAAAGUAAUAUAUAUUUAUAUACUUUUAUAUACUUCGUAAUGUCAAACGCUCGUCUUGUCUUACUCUGCCCGGACUGUUUUUGUUCCGGUUCAUGUCAGUUAGUGUAUGUGGAAAAACUCCCAUCUCAUGUUCUCCCUCAACUUCAAAAUCGUCCUAUAUCACUGUUUUACCAUUGUUUUGGAAAUGGACUUUUCCCUUAGGACCCUAAAGAAUCAUAUCAACCUUUUCUGACGACCCCUUUAAAUAAACCUCUGUGUCCAGACAGAAUGAAUUUCUUCACAUGACUGUCAUUUAAUUGCCAUGAAAAUAAUGGCACAUCUAAAACCAGCUUUCUUUUUUCCUUUUGAUUUUGAAAUAAAUUGUGGCCUGCACAUGUUUUUGGCAGGUUUUGUGAGAUUGAUGGGGUUUAUCAGGGUUUGGUCAUUUGUUUCUAAUCACGGGAGCAUUGUGGGAAUCACAGAUGACGCCGGACGCUCAUGAAUGUUAAACGAUGGAGCAGAUCUUCAUCUGACGCUGGUUGUGAGAUUCUGUCUGUCUCAUUGUCCGCUGUGUGACUGUGAAUCAUUAUGAGCUGCAAAUAAAAUAACAGAUAAAAUUGACACACACAAUAAUUCAUCUCACUAAAUGAGAACAUUACAUAGAUUAUGUUGUAUUUAUAAACAGUGAAUUACAAAUACUAAACAACACACACAUAAUGUAUAAAAACAAAGUAAAAAAAACCUUAGAUUUGUGAAAUGAUUUACUGUAUUUCAUAAGACUCAGUGUAUGUCCAUAUCAAACUCUUUCCUGCCUCUUUUAUUGUAUUUAAAUGGAGGUGAUCUAUAAUUAAUGUAUCUAAUAUGUAAAGUGUUUGAGACUAUCGUGAUGAAAAAAAAACACUUAAUUUCUGAAUAAAAGUUUGUA